GAUGUCAAGACGGUUGUCCCAUACACCCGAGGACA
rnacentral:tRNA from 1 species